UAAAAAUAUCCCAGUCUUCCCACUGCUCCCUUGCCCACUGCUCAGGUCACAGCGGGGGCUCUGGGAAAGCUGAGCUCGACUCGGGAGAUUUCCCUGUCUCCAGCCGGCGCCUCCACAGCUGAGGAGAGGAACGGAGGAUGAAUGUAAACCAGUU
rnacentral:lncRNA from 1 species